rnacentral:misc_RNA from 1 species
CAUAAAAUUUUCAAAAAAAAUUAAAAAAACAAAGGGGAGAAACAUUGAGGCCUCGAAUGAUCACGAGAAGUGUAUGCCAGCCAUAUUGAACCGAGAGAGCAGGUAUAAGAACUCCUCUUGUGAGAGUUUCGAGGACCUUUUCUCAUAAAAGUUUUUCUCUUUCAACACAGCUAAAACUUUUUCUUUGAAUUCAGACACCUCAGUAUCAUCACCAUCCUCCACCUCCAUUUCAUCAUCUGUUCCAUCAUCCAAGUCCAUGCUGCUCUGAUCCUCCUUAUAAUCUGCCAGUCCAGACAUAUCCAUUUCAGUGUCAGUACCUGCUGAGGAACCAAUUUGAGAAGGCUGUAAUGCCCGCAGUGUCUUGUAGUUCUUUUCCAGCAAAGAUAAGACAUUUUUCAUCCUGAAUAUUGAACCGAGAGUCUUGUUCUUUCUAAUGAAACAAAUUCGUAUGAAUCCAUCCCAUUCCUUAGGAUUCACUUGGGGACGUGGUUUCCUGGG